rnacentral:rRNA from 1 species
GGUAAUGGCUCACCAAGGGUUGACGGGUAGCCGCCCUGAGAGGGUGACCGGCCACACUGGGACUGAGACACGGCCCAGACUCCUACGGGAGGCAGCAGUGGGGAAUAUUGCACAAUGGGCGCAAGCCUGAUGCAGCAACGCCGCGUGAGGGAUGACGGCCUUCGGGUUGUAAACCUCUUUUAGCAGGGAAGAAGCGAAAGUGACGGUACCUGCAGAAAAAGCGCCGGCUAACUACGUGCCAGCAGCCGCGGUAAUACGUAGGGCGCAAGCGUUAUCCGGAAUUAUUGGGCGUAAAGAGCUCGUAGGCGGUUUGUCGCGUCUGCUGUGAAAUCCGGAGGCUCAACCUCCGGCCUGCAGUGGGUACGGGCAGACUAGAGUGCGGUAGGGGAGAUUGGAAUUCCUGGUGUAGCGGUGGAAUGCGCAGAUAUCAGGAGGAACACCGAUGGCGAAGGCAGAUCUCUGGGCCGUAACUGACGCUGAGGAGCGAAAGGGUGGGGAGCAAACAGGCUUAGAUACCCUGGUAGUCCACCCCGUAAACGUUGGGAACUAGUUGUGGGGUCCAUUCCACGGAUUCCGUGACGCAGCUAACGCAUUAAGUUCCCCGCCUGGGGAGUACGGCCGCAAGGCUAAAACUCAAAGGAAUUGACGGGGACCCGCACAAGCGGCGGAGCAUGCGGAUUAAUUCGAUGCAACGCGAAGAACCUUACCAAGGCUUGACAUAUACGAGAACGGGCCAGAAAUGGUCAACUCUUUGGACACUCGUAAACAGGUGGUGCAUGGUUGUCGUCAGCUCGUGUCGUGAGAUGUUGGGUUAAGUCCCGCAACGAGCGCAACCCUCGUUCUAUGUUGCCAGCACGUAAUGGUGGGAACUCAUGGGAUACUGCCGGGGUCAACUCGGAGGAAGGUGGGGAUGACGUCAAAUCAUCAUGCCCCUUAUGUCUUGGGCUUCACGCAUGCUACAAUGGCCGGUACAAAGGGCUGCAAUACCGCGAGGUGGAGCGAAUCCCAAAAAGCCGGUCCCAGUUCGGAUUGAGGUCUGCAACUCGACCUCAUGAAGUCGGAGUCGCUAGUAAUCGCAGAUCAGCAACGCUGCGGUGAAUACGUUCCCGGGUCUUGUACACACCGCCCGUCAAGUCAUGAAAGUCGGUAACACCUGAAGCCGGUGGCCUAACCUUUUGGAGGGAGCCGUCGAAGGUGG